UGCAGAGUGGGCCUGCUGCAUCACAAGGGCCACCCAGAACUGGCACAACUCUCAUUAAGCCAAGUUCCUGGAGGAGAUCACCCAGCUCGUCAUGCUAGAGCACUUUUUCAAUGGGCUCCCCAACAACUAGGCGACGACACAUCCAUACCAACUUUCGAUGCCACUUUCUGCGCCUACCAUGGUGACCACGGGUAACGGGAAAUCAGGGUUCGAUUCCGGAGAGGGAGACUGAGAAAUGGCUACCACAUGCAAGGAAGGCAGCAGGCGUGCAAAUGACCCACUCCUGACGGGAAGGUAGUGACG